CCUACGUGAUGCUGCAGUGGGGAAUAUUGGACAAUGGGCGAAAGCCUGAUCCAGCCAUGCCGCGUGUGUGAAGAAGGCCUUCGGGUUGUAAAGCACUUUCAGUGGGGAAGAAAGCCUUGGGGCUAAUACCCUCGAGGAAGGACAUCACCCACAGAAGAAGCACCGGCUAACUCCGUGCCAGCAGCCGCGGUAAUACGGAGGGUGCGAGCGUUAAUCGGAAUUACUGGGCGUAAAGCGCGCGUAGGCGGUCUGAUAAGCCGGUUGUGAAAGCCCCGGGCUCAACCUGGGAACGGCAUCCGGAACUGUCAGGCUAGAGUGCAGGAGAGGAAGGUAGAAUUCCCGGUGUAGCGGUGAAAUGCGUAGAGAUCGGGAGGAAUACCAGUGGCGAAGGCGGCCUUCUGGACUGACACUGACGCUGAGGUGCGAAAGCGUGGGUAGCAAACAGGAUUAGAUACCCCGGUAGUC
rnacentral:rRNA from 1 species